rnacentral:rRNA from 1 species
UACGUAGGGUGCAAGCGUUAAUCGGAAUUACUGGGCGUAAAGCGUGCGCAGGCGGUUAUGUAAGACAGUUGUGAAAUCCCCGGGCUCAACCUGGGAAUUGCAUCUGUGACUGCAUAGCUAGAGUACGGUAGAGGGGGAUGGAAUUCCGCGUGUAGCAGUGAAAUGCGUAGAUAUGCGGAGGAACACCGAUGGCGAAGGCAAUCCCCUGGACCUGUACUGACGCUCAUGCACGAAAGGCGUGGG